rnacentral:rRNA from 1 species
GACGAACGCUGGCGGCGUGCUUAACACAUGCAAGUCGAACGGAAAGGCCCUGCUUUUGUGGGGUGCUCGAGUGGCGAACGGGUGAGUAACACGUGAGUAAACUGCCCUUGACUUUGGGAUAACUUCAGGAAACUGGGGCUAAUACCGGAUAGGAGCUCCUGCUGCAUGGUGGGCGUUGGAAAGUGUCGGCGGUUGGGGAUGGAUUCGCGGCUUAUCAGCUUGUUGGUGGGGUAGUGGCUUACCAAGGCUUUGACGGGUAGCCGGCCUGAGAGGGUGACCGGCCACAUGGGGACUGAGAGACGGCCCAGACUCCUACGGGAGGCAGCAGUGGGGAAUAUUGCACAAUGGGCGGAAGCCUGAUGCAGCAACGCCGCGUGCGGGAUGACGGCCUUCGGGUUGUAAACCGCUUUCGCAUGUGACGAAGCGUGAGUGACGGUAAUGGGUAAAGAAGCACCGGCUAACUACGUG